ACGAACGCUGGCGGCGUGCUUAACACAUGCAAGUCGAACGGAAAGGCCCUGCUUUUGUGGGGUGCUCGAGUGGCGAACGGGUGAGUAACACGUGAGUAACCUGCCCUUGACUUUGGGAUAACUUCAGGAAACUGGGGCUAAUACCGGAUAGGAGCUCCUGCUGCAUGGUGGGGGUUGGAAAGUUUCGGCGGUUGGGGAUGGACUCGCGGCUUAUCAGCUUGUUGGUGGGGUAGUGGCUUACCAAGGCUUUGACGGGUAGCCGGCCUGAGAGGGUGACCGGCCACAUUGGGACUGAGAUACGGCCCAGACUCCUACGGGAGGCAACAGUGGGGAAUAUUGCACAAUGGGCGGAAGCCUGAUGCAGCAACGCCGCGUGCGGGAUGACGGCCUUCGGGUUGUAAACCGCUUUCGCCUGUGACGAAGCGUGAGUGACGGUAAUGGGUAAAGAAGCACCGGCUAACUACGU
rnacentral:rRNA from 1 species